rnacentral:rRNA from 1 species
CGGGUUGUAAAGCCCUGUGGGGAGGGACGAAUAAGUAGAAGCGUAACAACCUUCUUAUGAUGACGGUACCUCCUUAGCAAGCACCGGCCUAACUCUGUGC